rnacentral:lncRNA from 1 species
CCCCCCCCCACGGCACCACCAGGCUUCUGUAACUUAUAAAAUGGCGGCGUCCACAUGUAUACGUCCUUCCCGGGAUUAGCCAGGCAGCUAGAGGAUGACUUAAUAAGGAGAGUGGAGAAACUGGCCAAUUAAUGAACAUGCCCUGGUGAGUGCCGGGUCUCGCGCUGUCAGAGAGAUGGCCGCCGUAGCGGUCACCACGCCGACCCGCCGCAGCGGUCACCACUCCGACCGCAUGGUCUGCCGAGCGGGACGAGUAGUCGGCGGCUGGCACUCCGGAUUUCUCCCCUAUUCCGCCCACAAUAGAUGAGUGAUCAGUGCCCACAUCACCGGACCUCCACGGAUGAACCUGUCAGGCUGGGGAGGCUCAUUCCUAGGAGAGAUCGUGUUUUGAGGUUUCCUUUUGUUUUCCUUUGUCUAAUUGGGGUUUGACGGAUAGUGAGUGUCUCCAAAAUGGAGUGUUUAUUCUAGCUCCCCAGAGGCCUCGAAAAACGGCCUCAGUUCUUUCUCAUCAACACUUAGUAGUUGAUAAAACUAGCUUAUUGGUAACAUUAAUUAUGGUAUAAUAACGCUUUUUGCCCUAUGCCCUUUUUAUGUACUCCAAAUGAGGACCAGAGUAUGUUACUAAAUUUGUGGUCUGGGAGCAUCUGUUAUAAUAGGGCCUUAUAGGGUGAUCUGUGUUCUUUUGUUAGAUGCUUACUUGGUCAAAAAGACAUUUCAGUACCUUAGCUAGGCAUUGCUGAAUAAAGUAUGAAUUGUUGCAACCAUUUGGAAGCAUUGAUGUAGCUAUAUUUAGAAAAAUAAAAAUAUAUAUGGAGUACCAAGUUCCAAUAUCUGGAACUCAGUAGUCUGACUUUCACGGCUCAAUCCUUCAGAAAGAGAAGCAUCAGUAUAUAAAUAAGGAUACCUAAAAGAGGAUGUCUAUGCAGCUCUUUUCUUGUGGCAAGUGAUAAGAAACAACCUGUGUAUCCAUUAAUAGGAGGAUGUUUUAAAAGUCUGUAUAUUUUGGCUCUUUGGUGUAAAAGAUGAUAUGAUAGCUUGUUACAUUAAAAACAAGUUGUAGGAUAAUAUGAUCUCAUUUUUUUCAUAUAUGUAUGAGGGUGACAAAGGAAUGUUUGCUAUUUUUAAAACAUUUCGGCAGCUUUAUAUAUUAUGACCUAUUUAACACAAAUGCAAACACAGAGAAUAAAAUGAAACCCUAAUAUUAGAGUUGA